AGAAAAAAAUUUCUUCUCUUCUAGAUCUAGAUUUGAAAAAAAAAUUAUAAAACAGGCAUGCAAUUUGAUCACAAUCUGAAUUUCAGUAUAUGUAUAAUUUCAGCAUAUAAAAUAGAUCCUUGUGGUUUUAUAUUUUUAUGCAUGCAUGAUUCAGAUUAAAAGUAUUUUAAUCUUGAAUUUUACUGUGGUAUUUAGAAAAUAAAAUUUUAAAACACACAUGCAUACCCCA
rnacentral:lncRNA from 1 species